rnacentral:lncRNA from 1 species
ACAACAAUUAUUUCUCAUGAUAUUAUGACUUUCUAAAGCAUCCUAUGUACCCAUUUUUUUCAAUUUUCUCACUUUUCUUUUCUUUUCUUUUUUUUCUUUUUUUCUUCUUUUUUUCAACGACUUGUAGAGUACUAAGAUUUUUUCCAAUCAAGAACAAAAUUCAUAAUUCAUAAUCACACAUCUCCACAACGCCAACUACCCCACAUCAACAAUCUCCAAGUUCCCACCCACGACUAAAUCAAAUAAAAUGGAAAAUAAGGCUCAAAGGGGGCGAACUAGGAUCAUAUAUAGUAAUAGGACAAAUAUGGGAUAUAUAGGCUAGCAAAGAUGGCCUUCUAUCAUCUCAAAGUUAUUAAGCACACUAUGUGAC